rnacentral:rRNA from 1 species
GACGAACGCUGGCGGCGUGCUUAGCACAUGCAAGUCGAACGGAAAGGCCCUGCUUGCAGGGUGCUCGAGUGGCGAACGGGUGAGUAACACGUGGGUGAUCUGCCCCUUAUUUUGGGAUAAGCCUGGGAAACUGGGUCUAAUACUGGAUAGGACCAUGCUGUAGGUGGUGUGGUGGAAAGAUUAGUUUCGGUAAGGGAUGAGCUCGCGGCCUAUCAGCUUGUUGGUGGGGUAAUGGCCUACCAAGGCGUCGACGGGUAGCCGGCCUGAGAGGGUGGACGGCCACAUCGGGACUGAGAUACGGCCCAGACUCCUACGGGAGGCAGCAGUGGGGAAUAUUGCACAAUGGGCGCAAGCCUGAUGCAGCGACGCCGCGUGGGGGAUGACGGCCUUCGGGUUGUAAACUCCUUUCAGCCAUGACGAAGCCCUUGUGGUGACGGUAGUGGUAGAAGAAGCACCGGCUAACUACGUG